rnacentral:rRNA from 1 species
UACGGGGGGAGCAAGCGUUGUUCGGAUUUACUGGGCGUAAAGCGUGCGCAGGCGGCUUCGCAAGUCAGACGUGAAAUCCCCGGGCUUAACCUGGGAAUGGCGUUUGAAACUACGGAGCUGGAGUAUGGCAGAGGGGGGUGGAAUUCCACGUGUAGCGGUGAAAUGCGUAGAUAUGUGGAGGAACACCGAUGGCGAAGGCAGCCCCCUGGGCCAAUACUGACGCUCAUGCACGAAAGCGUGGGGAGCAAACAGG